rnacentral:rRNA from 1 species
CCUACGGGAGGCAGCAGUGGGGAAAUMUUGGACAANUGGGGGCAACCCUGAUCCAGCCAUGCCGCGUGAGUGAAGAAGGCCCUAGGGUUGUAAAACUCUUUCGGCGGGGAAGAUGAUGACGGUACCCGCAGAAGAAGCCCCGGCUAACUCCGUGCCAGCAGCCGCGGUAAUACGGAGGGGGCUAGCGUUGUUCGGAAUCACUGGGCGUAAAGCGCGCGUAGGCGGUCCGCGUAGUCAGGCGUGAAAGCCCCGGGCUCAACCUGGGAACUGCGUUUGAUACUGGCGGGCUAGAGUACGGGAGAGGGUAGUGGAAUUCCCAGUGUAGAGGUGAAAUUCGUAGAUAUUGGGAAGAACACCAGUGGCGAAGGCGGCUACCUGGACCGUUACUGACGCUGAGGUGCGAAAACGUGGGGAGCAAACAGGAUUAGAUACCCUGGUAGUCCACGCCGUAAACGAUGAGUGCUAGAUGUCGGGGGGCCUAGCCCUUCGGUGUCGCAGCUAACGCAUUAAGCACUCCGCCUGGGGAGUACGGCCGCAAGGUUAAAACUCAAAGGAAUUGACGG